rnacentral:rRNA from 1 species
AUAGCGUAUAUUAAAGUUGUUGCAGUUAAAAAGCUCGUAGUUGAACUUCAGACCUGGCUGGGCGGUCAGCUUAACAGCGUGUACUGUCUGGCUGGGCCUUACCUCUUGGUGAGCCGGUGUGCCCUUUAUUGGGUGCGCUGGGGAACCAGGACUUUUACCUUGAGAAAAUUAGAGUGUUCAAAGCAGGCCUAUGCCCGAAUACAUUAGCAUGGAAUAAUAAAAUAGGACGUGCGGUUCUAUUUUGUUGGUUUCUAGAGCCGCAGUAAUGAUUAAUAGGGAUAGUUGGGGGCAUUAGUAUUCCGUUGCUAGAGGUGAAAUUCUUGGAUUUACGGAAGACUAACUUCUG